GCGUCCCAUUAGGUAGUUGGUGAGGUAACGGCCCACCAAGCCGACGAUGGGUAGCUGGUCUGAGAGGAUGGUCAGCCACACUGGGACUGAGACACUGCCCAGACUCCUACGGGAGGCUGCAGUCGAGAAUCUUGGGCAAUGCGCGAAAGCGUGACCCAGCAAUGCCGCGUGUGUGAUGAAGGCCUUCGGGUCGUAAAGCACUGUCUCCCGUGACGAAAUUUGACGGUAGCGGGGAAGGAAGCCACGGCUAACUACGUGCCAGCAGCCGCGGUAAUACGUAGGUGGCGAGCGUUGUUCGGAUUUAUUGGGCGUAAAGGGUCUGUAGGAGGUUCGUUAAAUACGAGGUGAAAUCCCGAAGCUCAACUUCGGAACUGCCUUGUAGACUGACGGACUAGAGUACCGGAGAGGUAAGCGGAAUACCAGGUGUAGCGGUGGAAUGCGUAGAUAUCUGGUAGAACACCAAUAGCGAAGGCAGCUUGCUGGACGGAAACUGACUCUGAAAGACGAAAGCAUGGGGAGCAAACAGGAUUAGAUACCCUGGUAGUCCAUGCCGUAAACGUUGUCAACUUGAUGUGGGGGGAUUUAGUCCUCUCCGUAUCGAAGCUAACGCGAUAAGUUGACCGCCUGGGGACUACGGCCGCAAGGCUAAAACUCAAAGGAAUUGACGGGGGCCCGCACAAGCGGUGGAGCAUGUGGCUUAAUUCGAGGCAACGCGAAGAACCUUACCUGGUCUUGAAAUAUAUCGGACCGCCUGUGAAAGCAGGCUUCCCUUCGGGGCUGAUAUACAGGUGCUGCAUGGCUGUCGUCAGCUCGUGCCGUGAGGUGUUCGGUUAAGUCCGGCAACGAGCGCAACCCGUGUCACUAGUUGCCAUCAAGUAAUGUUGGGGACUCUAGUGAGACUGCCUGUGUUAAGCAGGAGGAAGGCGCGGAUGACGUCAAGUCAGUAUGGCCCUUACGACCAGGGCUGCACACGUGCUACAAUGGGGGGUACAAUGGGAUGCAAUGUCGCGAGGCGGAGCAAAUCCACAAAACCUCUCUUAGUUCAGAUUGCAGUCUGCAACUCGACUGCAUGAAGUUGGAAUCGCUAGUAAAGGCGUAUCAGCUACGACGCCUUGAAUACGUUCCCGGGCCUUGUACACACCGCCCGUCACAUCAUGGGAGUUGACUGCACCCGAAAUCGGUGAUCUAACCUGCAAAGGAAGAAGCCGCCUAAGGUGUGGUCGAUGACUGGGAUGAAGUCGUAACAAGGUAGCCGUAGGGGAACCUGCGGCUG
rnacentral:rRNA from 1 species